UUCCGGUUGAUCCUGCCGGAGGCCAUUGCUAUCGGGGUCCGAUUUAGCCAUGCUAGUCGCACGAGCUUAGACUCGUGGCGAAUAGCUCCGUAACACGUGGCCAAACUACCCUCUGGAGCGGGAUAACCUCGGGAAACUGAGGCUAAUCCCGCAUACGGCUCUCCGCCUUGAACGGCCUGAGCCGGAAACGCUCCGGCGCCAGAGGAUGUGGCUGCGGCCGAUUAGGUAGACGGUGGGGUAACGGCCCACCGUGCCGAUAAUCGGUACGGGUUGUGAGAGCAAGAACCCGGAGACGGUAUCUGAGACAAGAUACCGGGCCCUACGGGGCGCAGCAGGCGCGAAACCUUUACACUGCACGCCAGUGCGAUAAGGGGACCCCGAGUGCGAGGGCAUAUAGCCCUCGCUUUUGUACACCGUACUGAGGUGUACGAAUAAGGACUGGGCAAGACCGGUGCCAGCCGCCGCGGUAAUACCGGCAGUCCAAGUGAUGGCCGCUAUUAUUGGGCCUAAAGCGUCCGUAGCCGGCCAGGCAAGUUCGUCGGGAAAUCCACCUGCUCAACAGGUGGGCGUCCGGCGAAAACUGUCUGGCUAGGGACCGGAAGACCCGAGGGGUACGUCCAGGGUAGGAGUGAAAUCCUAUAAUCCUGGACGGACCACCGGUGGCGAAAGCGCCUCGGGAAGACGGAUCCGACGGUGAGGGACGAAAGCUUGGGUCACGAACCGGAUUAGAUACCCGGGUAGUCCAAGCUGUAAACGAUGCUCGCUAGGUGUGGCACAGGCUACGAGCCUGUGCUGUGCCGCAGGGAAGCCGCGAAGCGAGCCGCCUGGGAAGUACGUCUGCAAGGAUGAAACUUAAAGGAAUUGGCGGGGGAGCACUACAACCGGAGGAGCCUGCGGUUUAAUUGGAUUCAACGCCGG
rnacentral:rRNA from 1 species